UCUCUGGGAUUCCUGGCAUGAGUCCCGUGGGGCGCCUCCAUCUUCUGACUUCUGGCCGAGCCGAGAUGAUUCAGCGAGAAAGGGGUCUUCCGGUUUUAAAAUGGCGGCUUGACUUCCCCGCCCCCUAGAAAGCUAAAAACAAAUAUGCAGCCCCGAGAUUUUCCUCAGCGGCAACCUGGAGCUCAGAUUUCAGGAUGAAGACAGAUGGGGGGGGGGGGCUUGGAGAAAUGAGAAUAUUCUGAGCAAGCGGUAGGAAAAUCGGACUUCGACAUCCGCCACGCCCCUCCCACUACUGAUGCCUGCACCAGGCGCAGGGAAACUAUUCUCUCAGUGCGCUGGUUCCGUGGCGGAAAAAAUUCUGGCUGCUUUGUGUGGACCCUCUCCACUGCAACACUCCUGGCCCUCUGAGGGUCUUUCUCCUACUUUCCUUCAGCCCAACUCCUUUUUCUGGAAGCACCAUUUACAGGCAAUGGUGGUGAGACCUGGGUGCUGAUACAUGGAGAGAGUCAGGAGUUCUGAUGUGCACAUCCAUCACCGCGAUUAGUCUUUUUCUGCUACUUCCUGUUCCUAGUAGAUCAAAGGGCUAAAAAUGCCCCUGUGUCAGUAAUUGUCUACCAAACCAUCUGAACAUACAGAUCGUGCUGUGUAGUUUUACAGGUGCGUACCCAAAAUGAAGACCAUUUGUUUUGUUGCUGUCAUGAUAUAUGUGGCACUCCUACCAGAAUCAAGGCUCCACAGAUUCAUUAAGAGGGGCACCAAUUCUGUUUUAGCAUGUGGGUUUCCUAUGGACAAACAGUGGCUCUCUUUCCAUUGAAAUAUGGUUUUCGCCUCAGUGAAUCCUAAUACAGUGGUUUCAACUUCACAAUUGCAUGUGCUAAUAGAAUACCCAAGCUUCUAGAAAGAGUUGUUUAUAUGCUUUGUCUCCUUUUCUGAACUUCCUAUUCAUUCCUCGACUCCAGCCCCCAUCACUCCAUAGAAUCAUUUUCCCAUGAUCACCUCUGACUCACUAGAUCCAGUGGGCAUCUCAGGCUUUGUUCUUGACCUCCCAGCAGGAUUCAGCCCUGAGAAUCACACUGUCUCUGCCGAAAUACCCUCCUCCCUUAGCUUUCUGGAUAGCCCCUCUGCUAGUGUUGCUCUUCACUCUCUGACCCCUCCCUACUCCUCUGGCCCUUUUGUGGGCUAAUUUCCUACAUUCAGUCGCUUAUCAAGGUCUUCCCCAGGCCCCUUUCUCUUACUGUAUGUUUUCCCUAGCUCUCUCAUUCUUGCCCAAUGUUUCCUUUUUCUUCUCUUUUUUAGAGAUGAAGUCUCAUUUUGUCACCCAGGCUGGAGUAUAGAGGUGCCAUAAUAACUCACUUCUGUCUCCAACUCCUGGCCUCGAGCAGUCCUUCCUCAGCCUCCUGAGUACUGGGACCACAGGUGUGCAUCACCACGCCUGUUUUAUGUUGUUGUUUUUGUAGAAAUAGGGUCUUGCUUUAUUGCCCAGACUGACCUCAAACUACUGGCUUCAAGCAAUCCUCCUGCCUCAGCCUCCCAAAGUGUUGGAAUUACAGGCGUGAGCCACCAUGCCCAGCCAAAUGCCUGAGGUUUCAAGUACCAUCUAUGCCAUUGAUCUCAAAUACAGAUCUGCAGCCCAGGGUUCACCCUCUAUGUCACAGAGUCAUGUAUCUGGAUGCUAAUUAGCACCACCACUUAGGCAUCUCAGAGGUACUUACAAUUAGACAUGUUCAAAAUUCUUGGUUUUUUCCCCAAGAAAAAGGAGUAGAGGAGGAAGUGUGUUAGUCUGUUUUGCAUUGCUUAUAAAGGAAUACCUGAGACUGGGGGAUUUACAAAGAAAAGAGUUUUAUUUGAGUCACAGUUCUGCAUGCUCUACAAACAUAGCACCAGAAUCUGCUCAGCUUCUGGUGAGGUCCCAGGAAGUUUUUACUCAGAGUAGAAGGUGGAGGGGGAGCAGGUGUGUCACAUGGUGAGACGGAGCAAGGAAGAGAGAAGGAGGUACCAGAGUCUUUUUUUUUUUUUGAGACGGAGUUUCGCUCUUGUUACCCAGACUGGAGUGCAAUGGUGCGAUCUCGGCUCACCGCAACCUCCGCCUCCUGGGUUCAAGCAAUUCUCCUGCCUCAGCCUCCCAAGUAGCUGGGACUACAGGCACGCGCCACCAUGCCCAGCUAAUUUUUGUAUUUUUAGUAGAGAUGGGGUUUCACCAUGUUGACCAGGAUGGUCUCGAUCUCUUGACCUCGUGAUCCACCCGCCUCGGCCUCCCAAAGUGCUGGGAUUAUAGGCGUGAGCCACUGCACCCGGCUACCAGACUCUUUUUGAGAUGGAAUUCUGCUUUGUCACCAGGCUGGAGUUCAGUGACAUGAUCUCAGCUCACUGCAACCUCCAUCUCCCAGGAUCAAGUGAUUCCCCUGCCUCAGCUCCCAAGUAGCUGGGACUAUAGGCGCAUACCACCAUGCCUGGCUAAUUUUUGUUUCACCAUAUUGGCCAGGAUGGUAGUCCACCCAUGUCAGCCUCCCAAAGUGCUGGGAUUAUUGGUGUGAGCCACUGCACCUGGCCCAGUGCCAGACUCGUUUAAAACAACCUGAUCUUGUAUGAACUCACAGAAUGAGAACUCACUCGUUACCGUGGGGACAGCACUACCAAGCUGUCCCACUCAUGAGGGAUUGGCACCCAUGACCUAAACAUCUCCCACUAGCCCCACCUCCAACAUUGGAGGUCACAUUUCAACAUCAGGUUUGAAGAGGACACAACAUCCAAACCAUAUCAGGAAGGGAAAGAGGAGAAAAGGGAAGGGGAAGGAAAGGAGCAAAUAAAACAACAAGCAAGCCUUGCUUUUUAAAAAGUAUUA